rnacentral:rRNA from 1 species
AGCGAACGCUAGCGGCGGGCCUAACACAUGCAAGUCGAGCGGGGAGCUUCGGUUCCCAGCGGCGAACGGGUGAGUAACACGUAGGUAAUGUACCUUCUGGUGGGGAACAACCGCGCGAAAGCGCGGCUAAUACCGCAUAUGUCCUUUGGGAUGAAAGCCUUCGGGCGCCAGUUGAGCAGCCUGCGGCCCAUUAUUUAUUCCUAGUUGGUAGGGUAACGGCCUACCAAGGGUACGAUGGGUAGCUGGCUGAGAGGAUGAUCAGCCACACUGGAACUGAGACACGGUCCAGACUCCUACGGGAGGCAGCAGUGGGGAAUAUUGCGCAAUGGGCGAAAGCCUGACGCAGCCACGCCGCGUGAGUGAUGAAGGCCUUCGGUUGUAA